UACCAGCUCUCCGAGUGGUAGGGAUGAUUAUUGGGCUUAAAGCGUCCGUAGCCGGCUUGGCAAGUUUCCUGUUAAACUCUGCGACUUAAUCGUUGAAUCGCGGGAAAUACUACUAGGCUAGGAGGCGGGAGAGGUCAACGGUACUUCUGGGGUAGGGGUGAAAUCCUAUAAUCCCGGGAGGACCACCAGCGGCGAAGGCUGUUGACUAGAACGCGCUCGACGGUGAGGGACGAAAGCUGGGGGAGCGAACCGGAUUAGAUACCCGGGUAGUCCCAGCUGUAAACGAUGCGAGCUAGGUGUUGGGGUGGCUACGUGCCACUUCAGUGCCGCAGGGAAGCCAUUAAGCUCGCCGCCUGGGGAGUACGGCCGCAAGGCUGAAACUUAAAGGAAUUGGCGGGGGAGCACCACAAGGCGUGAAGCUUGCGGUUC
rnacentral:rRNA from 1 species